rnacentral:hammerhead_ribozyme from 1 species
AUCCAGUUGACGAGUCCCAAAUAGGACGAAACUUGCAUUCUGGAU